UUCUUAAUUAACCAGCUCCUGGUACUUCUCGGAUCUCAGGAAGCGGCCGAAGGAGUCCUUCUCCAUCAGAGCAUAAAUUCUCUUCUGGGCCAGGUCAAAGGUUGUGGAGGAAAGGUCAACCAGGUUCCUCAGGGUCACAUCCUUGGUGUAAUGAUCAAUGUUCACCUUAAGGGAGGAAAAGUGAGAAGUAUGGGAGGGACGAGAGAGUCAGAGAGAGAGAGAGAGAGACAGAGAGAGACGGAGACAGGAAGGAUAAGAGAAUUUGGCAGUACGUCCAACUGGCCUCACAACCACAGACUACGUGUAACCACGCCAGCCCAGGACCUCCACAUCCGGCUUCUUCACCUGCGGGGUUGUCUGAGACCAGCCACCCGGACAGCUGAUGAAAGGACUCUACUAUAGUGGGAUUGCCGAGAGCUGAAGCGCAUAGAGUGUAAAAAUCAUCUGUCCUCGGUUGCAACACUCACUACCGAGUUCCAAAAUGCCUCUGGAAGCAAUGUCAGCACAAUAACUGUUCAUUGGGAGCUUCAUGAAAUGGCCAAGCAGCCUCACACAAGCCUAAGAUCACCAUGCGCAA